GACGAACGCUGGCGGCGUGCCUAACACAUGCAAGUCGAGCGGAGACAGUGAGUAGCUUGCUAUGAGCUGUUUUAGCGGCGGACGGGUGAGUAACGCGUGAGCAACCUUUCCCAGACAGGGGAAUAACACACCGAAAGGUGUACUAAUACCGCAUAAGACCACGGGAUCACAUGGUUCUGAGGUAAAAGAUUUAUCGGUUUGGGGUGGGCUCGCGUCCGAUUAGGUAGUUGGUGAGGAAACGGCCCACCAAGCCGACGAUCGGUAGCCGACCUGAGAGGGUGAUCGGCCACAUUGGGACUGAGAGACGGCCCAAACUCCUACGGGAGGCAGCAGUGGGGAAUAUUGGGCAAUGGAGGAAACUCUGACCCAGCAACGCCGCGUGGAGGAAGAAGGUUUUCGGAUCGUAAACUCCUGUCCUUGGAGACGAGUGGAAGACGGUAUCCAAGGAGGAAGCCCCGGCUAACUACGUGCCAGCCGCCGCCGUAAAAC
rnacentral:rRNA from 1 species